rfam:Clostridium sp. CAG:632 genomic scaffold, scf110
UAAUGCCUGAAAUGUACGACAAUUUCCUUAAUUUUGAACCUACAUUUUUUGAUAUGGGAGUUUUAUAUUCAUAACAGGAUGUCAGGCCUCCGUUUGCAGUGGAAGACAGGAAUGUUAUAUGCGGACACCCACCUAGCUAUGCUAGGAGUCAAAAGAGGAAACCGGCAUUUUGGGUAUUAC